rnacentral:rRNA from 1 species
UACGGAGGGGGCUAGCGUUGUUCGGAAUUACUGGGCGUAAAGCGCACGUAGGCGGACUGUUAAGUCGGGGGUGAAAUCCUGGGGCUCAACCUCAGAAUUGCCUCCGAUACUGGCAGUCUCGAGUGCGGGAGAGGUGAGUGGAAUUCCCAGUGUAGAGGUGAAAUUCGUAGAUAUUGGGAAGAACACCAGUGGCGAAGGCGGCUCACUGGCCCGUAACUGACGCUGAGGCAC